rnacentral:rRNA from 1 species
GACGAACGCUGGCGGCGUGCUUAACACAUGCAAGUCGAACGGAGAGGCCCUGCUUUUGUGGGGUGCUCGAGUGGCGAACGGGUGAGUAACACGUGAGUAACCUGCCCUUGACUUUGGGAUAACUUCAGGAAACUGGGGCUAAUACCGGAUAGGAGCUCCUGCUGCAUGGUGGGGGUUGGAAAGUUUCGGCGGUUGGGGAUGGACUCGCGGCUUAUCAGCUUGUUGGUGGGGUAGUGGCUUACCAAGGCUUUGACGGGUAGCCGGCCUGAGAGGGUGACCGGCCACAUUGGGACUGAGAUACGGCCCAGACUCCUACGGGAGGCAGCAGUGGGGAAUAUUGCACAAUGGGCGGGAGCCUGAUGCAGCAACGCCGCGUGCGGGAUGACGGCCUUCGGGUUGUAAACCGCUUUCGCCUGUGACGAAGCGUGAGUGACGGUAAUGGGUAAAGAAGCACCGGCUAACUACGUG